UAGAAAGUUACUUCGGUACAUCGGUGACAGGUGGUGCAUGGUGUCGUCAGCUCGUGUCGUGAGAUGUUGGGUUAAGUCCCGCAACGAGCGCAACCCCUAUUGUUAGUUGCCAUCAUUCAGUUGGGCACUCUAGCGAGACUGCCGGUAAUAAACCGGAGGAAGUGGGGAUGACGUCAAAUCAUCAUGCCCCUUAUGACCUGGGCUACACACGUGCUACAAUGGUUGGUACAACGAGUUGCGAGUCGGUGACGGCGAGCUAAUCUCUUAAAGCCAAUCUCAGUUCGGAUUGUAGGCUGCAACUCGCCUACAUGAAGUCGGAAUCGCUAGUAAUCGCGGAUCAGCACGCCGCGGUCGAAUACGUUCCCGGGCCUU
rnacentral:rRNA from 1 species